GUGAUUCAUGAUAACUUCUCAGAUCGCAUGGCCUUGCGCCGGCGACGGGUUCAUUCAAAUUUCUGCCCUAUCAACUUUCGAUGGUAAGGUAUUGGCUUACCAUGGUUUCAACGGGUAACGGGGAAUUAGGGUUCGAUUCCGGAGAGGGAGCCUGAGAAACGGCUACCACAUCCAAGGAAGGCAGCAGGCGCGCAAAUUACCCAAUCCCGACUCGGGGAGGUAGUGACAAUAAAUACUGAUACAGGGCUCUUUUGGGUCUUGUAAUUGGAAUGAGUACAAUUUAAACCUCUUAACGAGGAACAAUUGGAGGGCAAGUCUGGUGCCAGCAGCCGCGGUAAUUCCAGCUCCAAUAGCGUAUAUUAAAGUUGUUGCAGUUAAAAAGCUCGUAGUUGAACCUUUGGCCUGGCUGGUGGGUCCGCCUCACCGCGUGCACUCGUCCGGCCGGGCCUUCUCUUCUGGAGAACCUCAUGCCCUUCACUGGGUGUGCUGGGGACCAGGACUUUUACUUUGAAAAAAUUAGAGUGUUCAAAGCAGGCCUUUGCUCGAAUACGUUAGCAUGGAAUAAUAGAAUAGGACGUGCGGUCCUAUUUUGUUGGUUUCUAGGACCGCCGUAAUGAUUAAUAGGGACAGUCGGGGGCAUCAGUAUUCAAUUGUCAGAGGUGAAAUUCUUGGAUUUAUUGAAGACUAACUACUGCGAAAGCAUUUGCCAAGGAUGUUUUCAUUAAUCAGUGAACGAAAGUUAGGGGAUCGAAGACGAUCAGAUACCGUCGUAGUCUUAACCAUAAACUAUGCCGACUAGGGAUCGGGCGGUGUUUCUAUAUUGACCCGCUCGGCACCUUACGAGAAAUCAAAGU
rnacentral:rRNA from 1 species